GCUAACUCCGUGCCAGCAGCCGCGGUAAUACGGAGGAUGCAAGCGUUAUCCGGAUUCAUUGGGUUUAAAGGGUGCGCAGGUGGGAAUGUAAGUCAGUGGUGAAAUACUGCCGCUUAACGGUAGAGCUGCCAUUGAUACUGCGUUUCUUGAGUAUGGUUGAGGUAGGUGGAAUGUGUUGUGUAGCGGUGAAAUGCAUAGAUAUGACACAGAACGCCGAUUGCGAAGGCAACUUACUAAGCCAUUACUGACGCUGAGGCACGAAAGCGUGGGUAGCGAACAGGAUUAGAUACCCUGGUAGUC
rnacentral:rRNA from 1 species